rnacentral:rRNA from 1 species
UACGGGGGGGGCAAGCGUUGUUCGGAAUUACUGGGCGUAAAGGGUGCGUAGGCGGCUUUCUAAGUUGGAUGUGAAAACUAUGGGCUCAACCCAUAGCCUGCAUCCAAAACUGGAGAGCUUGGGUUCUGGAGGGGAGAGCGGAAUUCCUGGUGUAGCGGUGAAAUGCGUAGAUAUCAGGAGGAACACCGGUGGCGAAGGCGGCUCUCUGGACAGACACCGACGCUGAGGCACGAAAGCUAGGGGAGCAAACAGG